UACAGAGGUGGCAAGCGUUGUUCGGAAUUACUGGGCGUAAAGCGCGUGUAGGCGGCUCUUCAAGUCAGGCGUGAAAGCCCCGGGCUCAACCCGGGAACUGCGCUUGAUACUGUCGAGCUAGAGUGUGGAAGGGGCGAUUGGAAUUCCGUGUGUAGCGGUGAAAUGCGUAGAUAUACGGAGGAACACCAGAGGCGAAGGCGGAUCGCUGGGCCAACACUGACGCUGAGACGCGAAAGCUAGGGUAGCAAACGGG
rnacentral:rRNA from 1 species